GACGAACGCUGGCGGCGUGCUUAACACAUGCAAGUCGAACGGUGAAGCGCCUUCCUUUUUGGUGGGUGUGGAUGAGUGGCGAACGGGUGAGUAACACGUGAGUAAUCUGCCCCCUUCUUCUGGAUAACCGCAUGAAAGUGUGGCUAAUACGGGAUAUUCUGGGUCUGUCGCAUGAUGGGUCUGGGAAAGAUAUUGUUUCGGUGGGGGAUGGGCUCGCGGCCUAUCAGCUUGUUGGUGGGGUGAUGGCCUACCAAGGCGGUGACGGGUAGCCGGCCUGAGAGGGUGGACGGUCACACUGGGACUGAGACACGGCCCAGACUCCGACGGGAGGCAGCAGUGGGGAAUAUUGCACAAUGGGCGCAAGCCUGAUGCAGCGACGCCGCGUGAGGGAUGGAGGCCUUCGGGUUGUGAACCUCUUUCGCCAGUGAAGCAGGCCUGCCUCGUUUGUGGGUGGGUUGACGGUAGCUGGAUAAGAAGCGCCGGCUAACUACGUG
rnacentral:rRNA from 1 species